UACGGAGGGGGCAAGCGUUGUCCGGAAUUAUUGGGCGUAAAGCGCGCGCAGGCGGCCUCUUAAGUCUGAUGUGAAAGACCCCGGCUCAACCGGGGAGGGCCAUUGGAAGCUGGGUGGCUUGAGUAUAGGGGAGGAAAGUGGAAUUCCACGUGUAGCGGUGAAAUGCGUAGAGAUGUGGAGGAACACCAGUGGCGAAGGCGACUCUUUGGCCUAUAACUGACGCUGAGGCGCGAAAGCGUGGGGAGCAAACAGG
rnacentral:misc_RNA from 1 species